rnacentral:rRNA from 1 species
UCGAAAGCCUGUCCCAGUUCGGACUGGAGUCUGCAACCCGACUCCACGAAGUUGGAUUCGCUAGUAAUCGCGCAUCAGCCAUGGCGCGGUGAAUACGUUCCCGGGCCUUGUACACACCGCCCGUCAAGCCAUGGGAGCCGGGGCGCCUGAAGUCCGGGACCGCGAGGACCGGCCUAGGGCGAAACUGGUAACUGGGCUAAGUCGUAACAAGGUAAC